rnacentral:rRNA from 1 species
GCGUGUGUGAAGAAGGCCUUUUGGUUGUAAAGCACUUUAAGCAGUGAAGAAGACCUAACGGUUAAUACCCGUUAGCGAUGACAUUAGCUGCAGAAUAAGCACCGGCUAACUCUGUGCCAGCAGCCGCGGUAAUACAGAGGGUGCAAGCGUUAAUCGGAAUUACUGGGCGUAAAGCGAGCGUAGGUGGCUUGAUAAGUCAGAUGUGAAAUCCCCGGGCUUAACCUGGGAACUGCAUCUGAUACUGUCAGGCUAGAAUAGGUGAGAGGAAGGUAGAAUUCCAGGUGUAGCGGUGAAAUGCGUAGAGAUCUGGAGGAAUACCGAUGGCGAAGGCAGCCUUCUGGCAUCAUAUUGACACUGAGGUUCGAAAGCGUGGGUAGCAAACAGGAUUAGAUACCCUGGUAGUCCACGCCGUAAACGAUGUCUACUAGUCGUUGGGUCCCUUGAGGACUUAGUGACGCAGCUAACGCAAUAAGUAGACCGCCUGGGGAGUACGGCCGCAAGGUUAAAACUCAAAUGAAUUGACGGGGGCCCGCACAAGCGGUGGAGCAUGUGGUUUAAUUCGAUGCAACGCGAAGAACCUUACCUGGUCUUGACAUAUCUAGAAUCCUGCAGAGAUGCGGGAGUGCCUUCGGGAAUUAGAAUACAGGUGCUGCAUGGCUGUCGUCAGCUCGUGUCGUGAGAUGUUGGGUUAAGUCCCGCAACGAGCGCAACCCUUGUCCUUAGUUACCAGCGGGUUAAGCCGGGAACUCUAAGGAUACUGCCAGUGACAAACUGGAGGAAGGCGGGGACGACGUCAAGUCAUCAUGGCCCUUACGACCAGGGCUACACACGUGCUACAAUGGUAGGUACAGAGGGCAGCUACACAGCGAUGUGAUGCGAAUCUUUCAAAGCCUAUCGUAGUCCAGAUUGGAGUCUGCAACUCGACUCCAUGAAGUAGGAAUCGCUAGUAAUCGCGGAUCAGAAUGCCGCGGUGAAUACGUUCCCGGGCCUUGUACACACCGCCCGUCACACCAUGGGAGUUGAUUGCACCAGAAGUGGUUAGCCUAACGUAAGAGGGCGAUCACCACGGUGUGGUUGAUGACUGGGGUGAAGUCGUAACAAGGUA